UACAGAGGGGGCAAGCGUUGUUCGGAAUUACUGGGCGUAAAGGGCUCGUAGGUGGCCAACUAAGUCAGACGUGAAAUCCCUCGGCUUAACCGGGGAACUGCGUCUGAUACUGGAUGGCUUGAGUUUGGGAGAGGGAUGCGGAAUUCCAGGUGUAGCGGUGAAAUGCGUAGAUAUCUGGAGGAACACCGGUGGCGAAGGCGGCAUCCUGGACCAACACUGACGCUGAGUGAGCGAAAGCCAGGGGAGCAAACGGG
rnacentral:rRNA from 1 species